rnacentral:tRNA from 1 species
GCACUCGUGGCCGAGUGGUUAAGGCGAUGGACUAGAAAGCCAUUGGGGUCUCCCCGCACAGGUUUAAAUCCUGUUGACUGCG